AGGACGAACGCUGGCGGCGUGCUUAACACAUGCAAGUCAGGGGGCUCAGCAAUGGGUCACCGGCGAACGGGUGCGUAACACGUGAGCGACCUGCCCAAGUGUGGGGGAUAGCCGGCCCAACGGCCGGGUAAUACCGCAUACGCUUCCUUUGGGGCAUACCUAGGGAAGGAAACCUUCGGGGCACAUGGAGGGGCUCGCGGCCUAUCAGCUAGUUGGCGGGGUAAUGGCCCACCAAGGCAACGACGGGUAGC
rnacentral:rRNA from 1 species